GAUGAACGCUGGCGGCGUGCCUAAUACAUGCAAGUCGAGCGAACAGAUGAGGAGCUUGCUCCUCUGACGUUAGCGGCGGACGGGUGAGUAACACGUGGAUAACCUACCUUUAAGCCUGGGAUAACUUCGGGAAACCGGAGCUAAUACCGGAUAAUAUAUUGAACCGCAUGGUUCAAUAGUGAAAGACGGUUUUGCUUUCCCUUAUAGAUGGAUCCGCGUCGCAUUAGCUAGUUGGUAAGGUAACGGCUUACCAAGGCAACGAUCCGUAGCCGACCUGAGAGGGUGAUCGGCCACACUGGAACUGAGACACGGUCCAGACUCCUACGGGAGGCAGCAGUAGGGAAUCUUCCGCAAUGGGCGAAAGCCUGACGGAGCAACGCCGCGUGAGUGAUGAAGGUCUUCGGAUCGUAAAACUCUGUUAUUAGGGAAGAACAAAUGUGUAAGUAACUAUGCACGUCUUGACGGUACCUAAUCAGAAAGCCACGGCUAACUACGUG
rnacentral:rRNA from 1 species